AUCCAAUUUGGCGAUCAGUUCCGUUAAACUUGAUCUACACUAUUAGAACUAUUUGAAAACCAAAUUUCAUAAUUUUUUGACUUUGUUUGUCUAGUGAACGAGUAGUCUCAAAAUGAACUGCUGAAAAUAAAAAUCUCAUAAAAAAUAGUGAUAAAAGACUCAAAUUUUAAAUCGGAAGUAUUGAUCUUGCUACUGAUGUUACGUAGAAUUUUCUAUUAAAUUUUUAUGUAAUUUGGAUACUUCUACACCGUUGAACUUAAAAACGUGCUACAUCGGCCAUUAAAAUAGUCAUUUUUGAGACUUUUUGAUCGCUUGGUAAAUAAUGUCAAAAAAUUAUAAAAUUUGGUUUCUAGAUAGUUCCAACAUGGUAGAUUAUACUUAACGGAACCGAUCGUCAAAUCGAAUGUCCUAUCAUCGAAAACAACUUACAAGCACGGAGGUCUCCGUACUUUCGUAAGUGCAGGAGACUUACUCUAUAUA
rnacentral:lncRNA from 1 species